rnacentral:rRNA from 1 species
GACGUAGGGCGCGAGCGUUGUCCGGAUUUAUUGGGCGUAAAGAGCUCGUAGGCGGCUUGUCGCGUCGACCGUGAAAACUCGCAGCUCAACUGCGAGCUUGCGGUCGAUACGGGCAGGCUAGAGUUCGGUAGGGGAGACUGGGAUUCCUGGUGUAGCGGUGAAAUGCGCAGAUAUCAGGAGGAACACCGGUGGCGAAGGCGGGUCUCUGGGCCGAUACUGACGCUGAGGAGCGAAAGCGUGGGGAGCGAACAGG